GCUAGAGCCAUAUCUCCCUGCAGUUCUUGCCUGGUUCUGCAGUGAAGCUAAGUAGGGUUGAGUCUGGCCAGUACCUGGAUGGGAGAAGUCCUGGGGAAAACUAAGGUUGCUGCUGGAA
rnacentral:rRNA from 1 species